UACGGAGGGUGCGAGCGUUGUCCGGAAUCACUGGGCGUAAAGGGCGCGUAGGUGGCCUGUGGAAGUCUGCGGUGAAAGCCCGGCGCUCAACGCCGGGUCGGCCGUGGAUACUCUCGGGCUUGAGCUUACUAGAGGCAGAUGGAAUUCCGGGUGUAGCGGUGGAAUGCGUAGAGAUCCGGAAGAACACCGGUGGCGAAGGCGGUCUGCUGGGGUAAUGCUGACACUGACGCUCAUGCACGAAAGCGUGGGGAGCAAACAGG
rnacentral:rRNA from 1 species